GAUGAACGCUGGCGGCGUGCCUAAUACAUGCAAGUCGAGCGAACAGACGAGGAGCUUGCUCCUCUGACGUUAGCGGCGGACGGGUGAGUAACACGUGGAUAACCUACCUAUAAGACUGGGAUAACUUCGGGAAACCGGAUCUAAUACCGGAUAAUAUAUUGAACCGCAUGGUUCAAUAGUGAAAGACGGUUUUGCUGUCACUUAUAGAUGGAUCCGCGCCGCGUUAGCUAGUUGGUAAGGUAACGCUUUACCAAGGCGACGAUGCGUAGCUGACCUGAGAGGGUGAUCGGCCACACGGGAACUGAGACACGGUCCAGACUCCUGCGGGAGGCAGCAGUAGGGAAUCUUCCGCAAUGGGCGAAAGCCUGACGGAGCAACGCCGCGUGAGUGAUGAAGGUCUUCGGAUCGUAAAACUCUGUUAUUAGGGAAGAACAAAUGUGUAAGUAACUAUGCACGUCUUGACGGUACCUAAUCAGAAAGCCACGGCUAACUACGUG
rnacentral:rRNA from 1 species